rnacentral:misc_RNA from 1 species
UUAUUUUGUUAUGGUUUUGUUACAUUCUUUGACCUGGUGUAUAGUAAAGGUAAUAGCGAAUCCUAAUCAGACUUUGCAGUCCUUUCAGUUACGCUUUAAAUUUGGUGCACAAGUGUUAGAGAGUGGAGGUCAGGCCCUCGCUGGUUAAAGCAAGGCACCCUAAAAUUCACUAAUGAUCCUUCCGCAGGUUCACCUACGGAAA